rnacentral:rRNA from 1 species
AUUGAACGCUGGCGGCAUGCUUUACACAUGCAAGUCGAACGGCAGCGGGGGCUUCGGCCUGCCGGCGAGUGGCGAACGGGUGAGUAAUACAUCGGAACGUACCCAGAAGUGGGGGAUAACGUAGCGAAAGUUACGCUAAUACCGCAUACGUUCUACGGAAGAAAGUGGGGGACCUUCGGGCCUCAUGCUUUUGGAGCGGCCGAUGUCUGAUUAGCUAGUUGGUGAGGUAAAGGCUCACCAAGGCGACGAUCAGUAGCUGGUCUGAGAGGACGACCAGCCACACUGGAACUGAGACACGGUCCAGACUCCUACGGGAGGCAGCAGUGGGGAAUUUUGGACAAUGGGGGCAACCCUGAUCCAGCAAUGCCGCGUGAGUGAAGAAGG